UUUGGCUCGCUCUGUUUGAAGAACUG
rnacentral:piRNA from 1 species